GUACUUGUUUCAGCAGCACCUAUAUUAAAACUGGAACAAUACAGAGAAAAUCAGCAUGGCCCCUGCUCAAGGAUGACACACAAAUUCAUGAAGUGAUCCAUAUUUUU
ensembl:snRNA U6 U6 spliceosomal RNA